GACGAACGCUGGCGGCGUGCUUAAUACAUGCGAGUCGAACGAGAAGCUGACUUCGGUCAGUGGAAAGUGGCGGACGGGUGAGUAAUAUGUAGGAAAUCUGCCUUGAGGAGGGGGACAACAGAGGGAAACUUAUGCUAAUACCCCAUAUGAGCGUAGCUGAGAUGCUAUUCUUGAACACUCCGGUGCCUAAAGAUGAGCCUGCAUCUGAUUAGAUAGUUGGUAGUGUAAUGGACUACCAAGGCGACCGUCAGAAGCUGGGUUGGGAGGAUGAUCAGCCACAAUUGGAAUUGGGCACGGCCCAAACUCCUUCGGGGAGGAGCAGGAGGGGAAUUUGAGCCAAGGGCGGAAACCCUACGCAGCCACGGCGCGGUGACUGAUGAACGCCUUGGGGUUGUAAGGCCCUUCAGUCUGGACAGAUCAUGACGGUACCAGCAGAAGAAGCCCCGGCUAACUCCGUG
rnacentral:rRNA from 1 species